rnacentral:rRNA from 1 species
GUAGCGGCGAGUGAAGCGGCAAAAGCUCAGAUUUGGAAUCGCUUCGGCGAGUUGUGAAUUGCAGGUUGGCGCCUCUGCGGCGGCGGCGGUCCAAGUCCCUUGGAACAGGGCGCCAUUGAGGGUGAGAGCCCCGUGGGACCGUUUGCCUAUGCUCUGAGGCCCUUCUGACGAGUCGAGUUGUUUGGGAAUGCAGCUCUAAGCGGGUGGUAAAUUCCAUCUAAGGCUAAAUACUGGCGAGAGACCGAUAGCGAACAAGUACUGUGAAGGAAAGAUGAAAAGCACUUUGAAAAGAGAGUGAAACAGCACGUGAAAUUGUUGAAAGGGAAGGGUAUUGCGCCCGACAUGGAGCGUGCGCACCGCUGCCCCUCGUGGGCGGCGCUCUGGGCGUGCUCUGGGCCAGCAUCGGUUUUUGCCGCGGGAGAAGGGCGGCGGACAUGUAGCUCUUCGGAGUGUUAUAGC